GGAGCAGGAGUCAGCGCUGAGGAGGGCACAGGGGACAUGCCUGACUCCGUCUGGGUGCCAGGCCCAGAGCCGGGCAUUUCCCAUAGUCAUCGGCCCCCUGCCCGCCCCCAGCAUGUCGAGGAAGGGAGGAGUAUUUUUAGUUCCAUCUUGAAGACGGGCACAGGAACGGAGAAUAACUGCCUGAAAGCACUGUCCCUGGUCUGAGCGGCCCUUGGAAAGGCUCAGCCUGGCCCAGGCCUUGCUGCUUCCCAUAACAGUUACAAGCACUGGCUCUGCCAUCGGAGAUGAAAGGGUACACGUGGGGUUCUCCGACCUUCCAGCCGUGUGACCUCGGACUGUUGAACCUACGCAGCUGACGUCAUGGUUGGCACGCAGCUUAGUCUUGUAUCUGGCUCCGUGGGGCACGUGGUGCCCUGUGCACACAUGCCCACCUCGCCCUGUUGGCCCCUCUGGGCACAACUGACUUUGGGAUAGGGACCAGAGCCUGAACUGUCCUGGGGGCCCAAUGUCAUUGGUGAUCCCCUAGUUGGAGAAUGCUCUCUGGCAGGGAGCAGGAGAGGAAGAGAGACUGAAGCUGGAGGAGGAUGCAGUGCAUGUGGCUGACUGGCAGGUGGAGGGGUCACCCAAGGAGGAAUGGGGGCCCUAGGGCAGAGAGCAGCCUCCGUGGACGCCAGCAAGGAAACAGGGGUGUCAGGCCUGUAACCUCAAGGACCCGGAUUCUGCCAGUGCCCGAGUGAGCCUGGGCAAAGAUUCCUCCCGGAGCCUCCAGGUUGGAGUCCAGCCCCACCACACCUUGAUUUUGGCCCAUGGGACCCUGAGCAGAGCCCAGCUGAACUCAUAUGGCAAGAAAGACCGGAGCUAAAAAGGAUGUUGUUUUAAGACACUAAGUAUAGGGCGAUCUGCUACACAGCAAUAGAAAACCACGGCAAAACCCACAUGGGUGAAGACACUGGGUUUGGGUUUGGACGUGCUGAGCUUGGGACGCUUUAGGACUUCCAGGUGGAGGAGUCCAGAAGGCAUUGUUUGCCCAUCCAUGGUGCCCUGAAGAGACCAAGAGGCUCACAUCAGAGGGUGGUCUCAGAGAGGCCGAGCGUGUGACAGCAGAAAAAUCGCUUGCCGUCUACACCCACCCUCCCUCUCUGCACGAGGACGUGGCACCAGAAAAUUGGCAGUCUUUUCCUAGCCUAAAGCACCGCAGUGAGCACCAACCAGUGGUUGCCAUCACCGGCCUCACUCCGAGUCCAGCUCCUGUGGCAGGAUAGCCGAGCUCUGCAGAGGGUCCCGGGCUGGGGCCUGGGGCUGCGUCCGCCAGGCGCUUCCCUGUCUCCUUAUGCUCCAGGGGCCGUUGGCUCUGGGGCAUGCAGGGGUCCCAGUGGUGCCUGUCUCUCAUCCUGCAUCCCUAUCACGCUGGCGCACACUAGGGCCCCUCGUACUGCUGAUGUCACAUGCUGACUGCUUGCCGCCUUCCGAGAGCCCGUCCUCUUCAUCCAGGGGCCCCAGCAAGUGAUGCCAUUUUAACACAAACUUCAAGAGCAAAGUUUGUGAAUCGGUUGCUUUGAGCCCAGGAGCUGUGUCUUGCCUGUGCCUGGCCUGCUUCCUAAAUUCCAGGGAUGCCUCCUGACCUCCAAGCCCACUCCUCAGCCCCCAUCGUCUCUACUUCCUUUUCAGGUUGCAUUCAACUCAGCCGUAAAACAGAUCAGGGCUGCCGGAUCCCCGCUGCUCAGAACAUGAGAUUUUCUCCUGGCAGUGGGAGGCCUGACAUCUUAUUAAAAACAGAGCAAAUGGCAUCAGUGGAAAGGUAGUAACUGAGUACCUGCUGUGUGCCUGGGGAUGUCUUCUGAGCUGGGACUGGAAAGAGGAGCGGAAGGAGAGGCUGAGCUGUGAGUAAGAUGUCUCCAGCCAAGCACGAGGCAGCCCAGCCUACUCAGCAGGGAGCAGAACACAGUGGCCCAACCUUUUUGGCACCAGGGACCAGUUUCAUGGAAGAUAAUUUUUCCACGGACGGGACAAAGGUGCCUCCAUGGCUGCACUGACAGUCUCCAGCACAAGAGAGGAGAAACAGCAUCGGAGGAGACAACAGUCUCCCUGCGUAUGCAAGACACGGUGCGGAAGUCAUCUCCCCAGCAUCUCAGCCCCUGCCCACUGCUGCUUGGGACAAGGUAAGCUGUGGGGGAGGCAGCCCGUGUCCUGGGAGCUUCCAGCUGGGACCCUGAUGACACAUCCCUGUGCAGUCCCAGUCCUUGGUGGUGAGUUCUGAGCCACAGCAGCGUUGGGCGCUGGUGUUCCUUGGUGAGGAGGUGCAGGGUAGCUGCCUGUCCCUCUCCUCCGUGACAUUAUCCGCCAUUGCCUGCCACAUCCCCCAGUUAUCAGGGAAUCGCAGGAUGAUGAUGAGAGUUUGUCAGCCUUCUGCGCUCGUUGGCUGGAAUGCUUUCCUAUGAAGGAGCGUUCCCUCGUCAGCUGUUGGCGACGUGGAUGUGUGGUUGUGUAGGACGGACCGUCCGGAGACACGCUGGAUUCUCUGCCUUUAUUCGCUAGCUUCCAAAACAAUAAGCUGGUGGUCUUGCCUCCUCCAACGCUUGCCCAUGAGGGUUUUCAUCAUUCUGAAUGUGUGAAGUUGCACGUAUUUGAUAGGUUUCAACCCACUGGGGUUAGGAUCUGUGUUGAUAUGUAAUUCCUCCCGUCUUCGGCUUGUGGAAAGCUCUUCGACUCGAUUCCCGAUGGUUUUGACAUGAUUCCAGAAAGCUUUGAUGGCUUCCUUGCUUUGGGGAUGACAAGAAGCUCCAGGCUCCUCUUGGACAUUUCCUGGCCCAGCCAGGUAAUCGGACAUUUCUCCAAGGAGCUUGACAUGGGGACGUGGUCUCAGUCCCUGGGCACCAGGAGCUGAGCUCUCACUGCUCCUGGGCUGGUUUGUUCCCAGGCAGGCUAGGAAAAUUACUUUCUUAAAGAUUAAAAAAAAAAUCACAAAUUUAUGCAGAUACUACCCGAUCCAACAUAGGCUUGCAGGAUCUUACGCAAUUUCUU
ensembl:lncRNA novel transcript